UACGGGGGGAGCAAGCGUUGUUCGGAUUUACUGGGCGUAAAGGGCGCGUAGGCGGCCACCGCAAGUCGACUGUGAAAUCUCCGGGCUUAACCCGGAAAGGUCAGCCGAUACUGCGGGGCUAGAGUGCAGAAGGGGCAACUGGAAUUCUCGGUGUAGCGGUGAAAUGCGUAGAUAUCGGGAGGAACACCUGCGGCGAAGGCGGGUUGCUGGGCUGACACUGACGCUGAGGCGCGAAAGCUAGGGGAGCGAACGGG
rnacentral:rRNA from 1 species